GUCAGAUGGCAGGCUUUAUAUAUGGGGAAAUAUUCAUUGAAAUAUACAGUAUUUUCCAAAUACUCUAAAAAGUAAAAUAUCUCCUAAAUAAAGAAAGAGAUCAUUCUCAGCAGAAGUAAAACAUUAUCACCUAGAACUAAUUUGGGAGUAUCCACAUUAGAAACAGGAAUGAGAAAGAUAAAGGAGCACUUAUGACAAUACUAAGAGGAGUCCCGGAUAAAGCAUCUUCAACCUGUGUACCUGACUCCCACUCAGUCCACCCAGGGCUUGUGAGGACAAAGGCACAGGCUUAAAAACCGGCAGCCUCUCCACUUCCUAUGGCAAAGAAGACAUGAAGUCCAUGGUUAAGUGAGGGAGGCGACUAUAGACAAAACCUGGCGUGUCUGUAAUAUUCUUUACAUAGACUACACUUCUGAAAGUUCAGUCCAGCCCAUGUAAAGCAUCAGAGCUCUUAAACAGAAAUACGUGCUGUAUACACCCUGAACCCUUACCAAACUCCAGUUUAGCGCUACCUGUUUUCCUGAUGGAAUAAAUCCCACAGCAGCUAUAAAACAAAGAAGUUCUUACUGAUGCCCUGGUGGUUUUUAUCAUCAUUCCAGUGAGCCAAGAGUGAGGUUUUUUUUUUUAGGUAGAUAGUUUCUAAUAUGUUAUGACCCACUAAUGAAAGCAGAAAAGCCACAAGGUACAGACCAUAUGAAAAAGUUCAUAAAGAAGCUCAAGGCAAGAGAGGAGACAAAAAAUAAGGACAUUAGAGGAAUCUGAUGCCCUGUCAUGUACAGUGGCCACUACAGUAGAGACUAGACACACAGCCAGAACGCUAGCCAGGUUAACAUGACACCUCAAGCUAAAGGCCUAUUUACCUCAGUUUCUAUUAUCUGGUACAUCAUGUCCACCUUUCAAAAAAAAACAAGACAUGCUAGAGACAAGAGAGAAUACAGUCAGAAGAGACAGAGCAAGCAUCAGAACCCUGCUCAGAUAUGGCAGAGAUUUUGGAAUUAUCAGACUUAGAAUUUAAAAUUACUGUGAUUAAUAUGCUAAGGACAAUAAUGGAAGAAACGGACAACAUGCAACAACAGAUGAGGAACGUAAG
rnacentral:lncRNA from 1 species